GGCCGCUAGAGGGCAGCAGGCUCCUUUCUACUACAGUAACAUCAGCGUCAACUUCCUUUCCGGUGUCCAAAAAAUCGCUGUAUAUUCGCUUUCAUUCAAAGAGAAGACGACUGACUGCAUGUUUUCAAUCGAUAAUAACUAAAGUCACACGAGUGGACGCAGCCUGCGUUAGCUCUACUUAUUCCUCUCCAGCGAGAACAGUGACAGUGAUGCUCUGUGACUGUCGAGCGCUGCUCGCUUCCACGACGCACCAGUCAGUGCUUUCCGCUGGAUGAAUUAUGGAUGUGGCGGGGCCUGGCCUCCCUCCACAUCCCUGAAUAAGUCACGUGGAAGUACGACGUGUAUCCACCACAGGUGACUUUUUCCGGUUCUGUUUCUCCACCUCCACCUGCAUCUUGGCCAUGGGCUUGGCCAUGGCCAACGCCAGCUUGGCCUCCGCCUGGAGCUUCUUCUGCCGACUCACAAAGUCCAUGUCCUCCAGGGACUCGGAGUCCUCCUCAGUGGUGUCCCGGUCCGAGUAGGACGAACUCUGCUUGGACUGCGUUGAGGCUGACAGGAGGUUAAUGCGUCCAACCAUCCGUGCCCCGGUUGAGCGUAUUCCAAUUCAUUCCUCAUUUGCAGCCCAGGAAUUGGUUAACGGGCCAGAAAAGGUGGACCAAAGCCAAGAGACCUGCUCGUCCUCGUCGCGUCCGGUGUCAGAUCAAUGCGGGAAGCAGCAGGCGGUUCUGGUCCAAUACAGAUGACAGCGACCGGGUUGUUCAAAUUCAUUUUUGUUUCGACAAAGUGUGGACGAGGCUCCGAACGCGGAUCAAUAAUCUGCUUAUUCCAUGCAGUAAUUACAAGCACGGCUGAUUGAUCACGCGGCAGGGCAUCCAAAGAGCACUGAUUAAAAUAGAACUUUAAAGGGCGAUGACUCCGAUUGUGCAAACGCUCUCGCCAGUUAAAAUACAGAUUGAGGCUUCGCGGGUUCAAAAAGUCGACCGUCUCGAUCUGAAUGACAAUAAUAAGAGAGCGACAUCACGUUACCGUGACGACAGGCUCGGUUUGCCGCUCUUGCUGCAGCUGGUGUAGAUGCCCGGUCCAUCGUCGAAGAAACUGCCCAGGGCCAACUUCUGCCUAAUAGACUCCCUCUCAUUCUUCUGGGCCUGAAACACAAGCAAAAACAUUUUUUUUUAAUGAGAGACUUUUGCGUUGUCAUGGCAGCUCUGAUUUUAUUUUUAGGCCGUGGCACCAUUUUCCCAAUCUUUUACACGGCCGCUGUAUUUAUAGCAGCAGCCUCCUAAUUUGGCUGGGUGUCAUUUUAACAAGAUGUGAUACAAAGUGUGGACUCAGCUGAACCAGCAAAACGUGUGAAUUAGAUUCACUGGGAGAUUUUUUAAAUAAAAGACAAUAUACAUUUCCACCACUGGGUGGUGCCGUUGCAUCAAAGAACAAACAGCUCAAUAGUGUUGUGCUACGUUUACAGGCGGUAAUGUUAAGUACUAGUUUGAGUCACGUGGUAAACAGACGACAUAUAACACUGAUGCUCCAGCAUGACCUCAACAAAAGGCAAAAUAAAUAGAAGAAUAAUGUGAUGAACAAUGAUAAA